UUCCAUUUCAUCAGCUGUGCCUUCCUUCCGGUUCUGCCUGGAACAUCAUUACCCUGCCUUCCUUGUGCACGUGGGCAGCCCUUCAAAACAAAAGAAAGCCCAGGUGGGAGCAAGCGCAGCUAUCUCCGUUCCCCACAAAAUCACCAGCUGGAAGCAGGACCAAGACCGCACUCCAGGGGAACGCAGAUGGAAAUCUAACAGGUCCCAAGUCAGCCAUAAAACCCGAGUUUGGUGUCAUGAGGUAGGCCGGUACCAGGAGAUGAUGCUAAGUACGGACCUGAUACAACAAAGAGGUACGCAGUGUGUGCUCGGCAUCUCCCAUACCUUGGCAGUGACCCCACGUGGCUUGACUUUCCAGGAAUGCCGCUGCUGUGCCAGUUACUGGUGAGCAUUCAGGCCAGGCGCCGGGUUGAAUGCAGCUCUGGGAAACACGGCCCUGCCGUCCAGCACGCCCAUGGCCUCACGCUCAGGCAUGGCCUGCCCUGGUUUGGUAAGAUAAAAGAAAUGUAUAACACGUUCUCCUUGACUUUCAGGGAUGCCCAGGGCAUUUUUCUAAUAACAGCAGCAACUUCUAUUAC